GACGAACGCUGGCGGCGCGCUUAACACAUGCAAGUCGAGCGAAGCGGCGGCCGGGUGAGUAACACGUGAGUAACCUGCCUUAGACAUUGGGAUAGACUCGGGAAACCGGGAUUAAUACCAAAUGGUCUAAGAUGGACUCGCGUCCCAUUAGCUAGUUGGGAGGUAACGGCCCACCAAGGCGAGGAUGGGUAGCCGGCCUGAGAGGGUGAGCCGCCACAUUGGAGCGGAGAAGCGGUCCAAACUCGACGGGAGGUAGCAGUGGGGAAUAUUGCACAAUGGAGGGAGCUCUGAUGCAGCGACGCCGGGUGAACGAAGAAGGCUGUCGAGUCGUAAAGUGCUUUUAUAUGGGAAGCGGUACCAAAAGAAAAAGCCCCGGCUAACUACGUGCCAGCAGCCGCGGUAAUUC
rnacentral:rRNA from 1 species